rnacentral:rRNA from 1 species
CCCUUAGAUGUUCUGGGCCGCACGCGUGCUACACUGAGUAAUUCAAUGGGUAAGGGAACGCUAGAGCAUUACCUAAUCUUGAAAUUUGCUCGUGAUGGGGAUCGACGGUUGCAAUUUUCCGUCGUGAACGAGGAAUACCUUGUAGGCGCAUGUCAUCAUCAUGCGCCGAAUACGUCCCUGCCCUUUGUACACACCGCCCGGCGCUCCUACCGAUUGAGUGAUCCGGUGAGGCUCUGGGACCUGGACGGAAAGAGCGUUUCGCUUGUUCUGUUUGGGAAACUUGGUCGAACCUUAUCAUUUAGAGGAAGGAGAAGUCGUAACA